rnacentral:rRNA from 1 species
AACGAACGCUGGCGGCAGGCUUAACACAUGCAAGUCGAACGCAUCCUUCGGGGUGAGUGGCAGACGGGUGAGUAACGCGUGGGAACGUGCCCUUCCGUGCGGGAUAACCCAGGGAAACUUGGGCCAAUACGGGAUACGUGCGAGAGCAGAAAGAUUUAUCGCUGAAGGAGCGGCCCGCGUCUGAUUAGCUAGUUGGUGGGGUAAUUGCACACCAAGGCGACGAUCAGUAGUUGGUCUGAGAGGAUGAUGAGGCACAUUGGGCCUGAGACACGGCCCAGACUCCUACGGGAGGCAGCAGUGGGGAAUAUUGGACAAUGGGGGCAAGCCUGAUCCAGCCAUGCCGCGUGAGUGAUGAAGGCCUUAGGGUUGUAAAGCUCUUUCGUCCGGGACGAUAAUGACGGUACCGGAAGAAGAAGCCCCGGCUAACUUCGUGCCAGCCGCCGCCGUAA